rnacentral:rRNA from 1 species
GUCCACGCCGUAAACUAUGGAUGCUAGCUGUACACCGUAUCGACCCGGUGUGUAGCGAAGCUAACGCGUUAAGCAUCCCGCCUGUGGAGUACGAGCGCAAGCUUAAAACAUAAAGGAAUUGACGGGGACCCCGCACAAGCGGUGGAGCGUGUUGUUUAAUUCGAUGGUAAGCGAAGAACCUUACCAAGGCUUGAAAUCCUGCGAAGUUCUGCGAAAGCAGAGUGUGCCUUCGGGAACGCAGUGACAGGUGUUGCAUGGCCGUCGU